rnacentral:rRNA from 1 species
GCCGGGUAGCUAUGUUCGGAUUGGAUAACCGCUGAAAGCAUCUAAGUGGGAAACCCACCUCAAGAUUAGGUCUCCCGGGGAGUAAUCCCCCUAAAGACCUGUGGUAGACCACCACGUUGAUAGGCUGGAGGUGUAAGUGUGGUGACGCAUUAAGCUGACCAGUACUAAUCGGUCGUGAGACUUGACCCU